CCCUUAGAUGUUCUGGGCCGCACGCGCGCUACACUGUUCGACGCAGCGAGUCUUAACCUUGACCGAAAGGUUUGGGUAAUCUUCAGCAAAGUCGAACGUGAUGGGGAUCGAUCAUUGCAAUUAUUGAUCGUGAACGAGGAAUUCCUAGUAAGUGCAAGUCAUCAGCUUGCGCUGAGUACGUCCCUGCCCUUUGUACACACCGCCCGUCGCUACUACCGAUUGAAUGGUUUAGUGAGAUCUCUGGAUUGACGCUGGCUAGGGGGCGACCCUUGGCCAGACUGUUGAGAAACUGCUCAAACUUGAUCAUUUAGAGGAAGUAAAAGUCGUAACA
rnacentral:rRNA from 1 species